rnacentral:lncRNA from 12 species
UGGAGAGGAAAACCACACAGAGCAGAAGGGCCAUAUUGUCACAGCGUAUGUCACAAAGGGUAUACGCCCUCAAGGUGGUGACCUAUCACUGUUGGUGGUGUUCUUCUCACUGAGCUGAUGGAGGUGAAUUAUCUGGAAAUCUGCAUAGGAGAUUUACCCCUCUCCCAAUUAAAAAAAAAAAAAAUAUAUAUAUAUAGCCCUAAAUUCUGGCUCUCCCCACUGCAGGCUCCAGCUGGCCGAAUGGGGUCUGCUGGGGAGAGCGAGCCCCCUCUGUGUGCCAGGCCCGUGUAGGGCAUUUUCAUUUCACACAAGAGGCUGCUUUCUGGCAAAAUGGGGCUCGGCCUCCCCAGUUUACGAGCGAGGCUCAGAGAGGCAACCACAGAGCCCCAGGGUCACACGGUGUGGGAGGCAGCUAUAGGGUUUGCACUUCCCACCUGCCUCCCCUAGGUUGUGUUUGCUCAAGCUAACUGCGAGCAAACAAGAAGAAAGCCAGGCACACAGGAAGGGGGCGGUUAUGUGACCCUGGAUCCUCUGCCUUCUGCCCAUGGGGCACUAUGGGGGGGGGGGAGAAUGGAGCCCCAUGGGUAUCCAGCUUCAGAAGCCUCCCCCUGCUGCUCCUGCCCUGCAUAAAACCCUUACGGAAAAAAAGCGAAUGCACAUCUGGAGGCAUAGAGGGGCGAGCCGGACAAGGAAAACACACUCGUGAACUAUCCGGGGCAAGAACUGGAACACUGUCGGCCUCCCAGACCCCACCCUUCUCAGCCUCCAUCACUGCUCCCUUUCUUUCUCCGCCCCAAAUGUAGCCACCAGCCUAAAUUCCAACACCGCAGUCCAUGCCUAUUAAUAUUUACACCCUCCUCGUGGGAUUGUGAUGAGGGAGGAUCAGAUGCGGGUCAUGUGCACCCGCUGAGCACGUAAGAAGGGGCCCUAUGCGAGGCUCUGGUAUCCUUGUCUCGUCCACACUCCCAGCUCCUGGGCAGUGGCACACUCCUUUCCUGGGAGCUGUAUUUGUAGCCCAUGCUGAGGGCAGGAGGAUGACCUGCUAAAUGACUGGUGACCAGAACACCUCUGCCUCUCUGUGCUAACAUCUGCCCAGGAAAUAAUUACCCCUGAGCCUUCUCCAUUCUGCAUCCUUGAUACUGUCAUUUCCAUCCACCCACCCCUGGGUCCCUGCCCUGCUAGCCCCUCUAUCUCGAAUUAGCGCCUUGUCCUUCAAAUGGCCCAUGUCUCAUCUCCAGUCUACCCCCCAAACUGCAGCCAGGGUUCUUUUCUAGAACACAGAUCUCAUGAGUCACUCCCCCCUGCUUUACAACACUCCAUGGCUCCCUAGCACCCUCAGCGUAAAGUCACUCCCUGCCCAGCAUUCAAAAUAUUUUACCUUAAAAAAAAACUUUUUUUUACCUUACAUCUGGUAGAAUGGCUACUAUAAAAAGGGGGUGGGAGAGAGAGUGAGACACAACAAGUGUGGAUGAGGAUGUGCAGAAAAGGGGACCCUAGUACACAGUUGGUAGAAAUGCAAACUGGAGCCACUGUUGUGGAAAAUACUAUGGAGGUUACUUCAAAAAUUAAAAAUCGAAUUACCAUAUAAUCCAGCAAUCCUACUUCUAGAUACUUAUCCCAAAGAAAAAAAAUCCCUACCUUGAAAAGAUAUCUGUACCCCCAUGUUCACCGCAGCAUUUUAUUCCAAUAGCCAAGACAUGGAAACAACCUGUGUCCAAGAGCAGAUGAAUGGAUAAAGAAAAUUUUAUAUAUAUAUAUUUUUAAA